rnacentral:rRNA from 1 species
UACGUAGGGUGCGAGCGUUGUCCGGAAUUACUGGGCGUAAAGAGCUCGUAGGCGGCUUGUCGCGUCGACUGUGAAAUCCCGCGGCUCAACUGCGGGUCUGCAGUCGAUACGGGCAGGCUAGAGUUCGGUAGGGGAGACUGGAAUUCCUGGUGUAGCGGUGAAAUGCGCAGAUAUCAGGAGGAACACCGAUGGCGAAGGCAGGUCUCUGGGCCGAUACUGACGCUGAGGAGCGAAAGCGUGGGGAGCGAACAGG